UCGAUGGCAAGCGAGCUGAUGAAGAGGAGGAGGAACAUGACCAACAGCCACUGGCACUGAGCUGCCUGCAUGUAGAGGUGCUGGGACGCCAGCGAGAAGUCUGCACCGGCUGUUUCAGCUCAGACCUGGACUCUUCGGGGAGGAAUUCUGAGGUCAUGUGGUCAGAGUUCUCCGAGCACGUCACGAAGAAGCGACUGUGGCGAAAGUCGAUGGCAAGCGAGCUGAUGAAGAGGAGGAGGAACAUGACCAGCAGCCACUGGCACUGAGCUGCCUGCAUGUAGAGGUGCUGGGACGCCAGCGAGAAGUCUGCACCGGGUCGAGAGGAUGCAGGACCAAAUCACAGCAGCCACUGGGCGACAGGACGGCAACAGCCUGGACAGGUGGCCUGUCCAUCACAGGACGCUUAAGACCUUGGAUACGAAGAAGCCCCAGAAAUCUAGGCCUCAGUCUGUGACCUUGUUACUCUAACGUGUGAAAUACUCAGCUCGUUUGGUUAAAGGAUACAGAGUACGAUGCAAACCGUGAUGAUUCCGGACAGCAGGAAACGAACGAUGGCGACCUUCUUCCCCUCCUUCAUCAGAUUCACUUUCAGAGUGAUGUAGGACUGCAGCCAGCAGAAUAUCGAUCCCACUCCAAACGUCAAGCAGGUGCCAAAGUCAUGAACCUUCAUCUGAGUAAAUACCUAAAAUAGUAAAACAAUAGCUUGUGUAAUAACUGACUUCAUCUACAAAGCAGCGUUUACACUGUCAGAUACGCGUCUUCUGGUGGUGUGUGUUACCUGCACGUUUCCAACCAGCGUCAUUCCAAAGCAGGCAACAGAGAAAGUCACCAGACUGACGACGUUGAGCCACGCUUUGUUUACUCUGGGUCUCAGCUGCAGGUACCUGAGCACAGCAAUGAUGAACCCUGGGAGGAAAAAGGAGUCCAUUCUCACUCUGCUUUCCUCUACAUCAUUUCAUCAAAUGUGGCACAAAUGUGAUUCAAGGAUGAACUAAUUGGAUUUCAUUGGUCAGGGGUGAGGCCUCACACCUCAUUUGUUCAUUUGAGCAGUUCAGACCUGGAGAUCUGGAGGAGAAAGAAGACUUGAUGCAACUUGCAAACAACGACGUUGCUGACGUCUUCUGAUCAUGGAAUCUCAAGAUUUUCAGUAACACUAACUUCGAUGAAUUGAUUAAGAUUCUGGUGCCUAAAGGUCAAGCUCGGCAUUCCAGGUUAUGUUUUACGUUAGAAAAUACCUAGUGGGCAUUUCAUUUCAUCUUGAGCUCACAAAUAAACUGAAACCCUGACCAAAAUUCUCACAGAUUCAUAAUCCAGUCUUAUCCUUUAAAUAUGUGUUUGGACCAAUGUUGAGACGUUGUGUAAAAAAUCUGUUGGAUUAAAAAUGACUGGCUGCUUUUACCUCCAAACGCUGCCAGGUUCAUGACCUCGCUGAAGAGGCAGCUGACUGGCGGAAAGUUUCCUGCGACACUGAGGCAAGAAGGAAAAAUACAUUUUUCUUCUACAAAAAAACACCAAAGCUAUGUGUUCUGUGAAAAGGAAAUUAAAGUGUGUACCUGAUGAAUGGAGGAUACAGUGACUCAUUGAUUUUCCUGAAAACAAUUUUUAAAUAUGUUAUAGUUUAAAAAUAAAUAAAAACCAUAACUUGGUCAAAGAA